rnacentral:rRNA from 1 species
GAUGAACGCUGGCGGCGUGCUUAACACAUGCAAGUCGAACGGUGAAGGCGGAGCUUGCUCUGCUGGAUCAGUGGCGAACGGGUGAGUAACACGUGAGCAAUCUGCCCCUGACUCUGGGAUAAGCGCUGGAAACGGCAUCUAAUACUGGAUACGAGCUGCGAAGGCAUCUUCAGCAGCUGGAAAGAAUUUCGGUCAGGGAUGAGCUCGCGGCCUAUCAGCUUGUUGGUGAGGUAAUGGCUCACCAAGGCGUCGACGGGUAGCCGGCCUGAGAGGGUGACCGGCCACACUGGGACUGAGACACGGCCCAGACUCCUACGGGAGGCAGCAGUGGGGAAUAUUGCACAAUGGGCGAAAGCCUGAUGCAGCAACGCCGCGUGAGGGACGACGGCCCUCGGGUUGUAAACCUCUUUUAGCAGGGAAGAAGCGAAAGUGACGGUACCUGCAGAAAAAGCGCCGGCUAACUACGUG